CUGGUUGAAAAACUUCUGUCAGAUUAUGAAUGUAGAGGUAUGUAUAAACCAUGGAAACCACACAGACUGCUUACAGACAUUUUUGACCUCAUAUUCUAACAUACCCUUCAGUCAACAACUAAGGACAUUUUAAAAAGCGUUUGCACGAUUGUAUCUGGUGCCAAUACGAAGCAAAGUCGUGUACUGAACAUCUGGGGCGACAUUAUCAGGUACAGAAAGAAAAAGCACCAAUACAUGGUCAAUUUAGAAUCAACAUCAGCGAUAGCAAAAUUUAAUCUGGCAUUCUACAUUAGAGUUAGACAACACGAAGUUAUUUAUGAUUUGAAUGAAUUUAUUUCAAAAAGAAUUUCUAGUUAUCUUAAGAGUCUAAAUAUGGAUAGACCAGUGUCGGCCUUACUUAACAGAGAGUGUCUUGUGAUUUUAGAUUUGAAUAAAGGUAACAUUCGUUCUCCUCAUGAACUACAUCGACAAAUCAUGGGAACAUACAAAGUAUUAUUAUUUGUACAUGAUUCAUAGGUAAUGACAAAACGUAUAUGUGGCAUAGAUAAGGUAUCAUGUUCCGAGUUAUUAGCUCAAUGUGGGGAAGUAACCACACUUACUGUAACAAGAAGAAAAGGAAUAACACGGCGUUCUAUGCCUAAUGAAUACGAUUAUGUGAUGACAAACUUAAGCAAAGAAAUUAACACUGCUCUCUUCUUAAAGUCGUUUCAAUGUAAACUUGGGACUAAAUUAUUCGACAUAAUUUUCCAAGACAUUCGUUCUCCAAACUCUUUAAUUACAACUGAAACUGAUCUACAUAAUUUUAAAAAACAAACUAAAUCUGGACAAAUCUAUGUGAGAAACUUGGAGCUGAUAAACUGUGAUAGUUCCAUACUGUUUCUUCAUCCUGCAGAAAAGGUUGUAUUCAAAAAAGGGUAUUAUCUCAAUGAAUUAUUAGUUUAAAACUGCAUGCUUUGUUUUCCAAGUUGUAUAAAUUUGAGAACGGUGGUGUUUUCAGACAUUAUUAUUGGCCGAGAACAGAUUAAUAUUACAUUAUCUGAAGAUAAAAUCAGAAAGUUCAAGUUGUUUACCCGAACACAUGAUGUAGUGUUGAAGAUAUUCAUGCCAUAUUUUGACAAUUCAGUAAACUUCAAUAAAGAAGACUUCAGCAUUGAAAAUCAGCGCUGUAACUCGAUUGGAAAAGAAAUCAUAUUUAACCAAAUAUGUCACCAACUUGUCAUUUCUGAUCCAAAUAAUGCAGAAGCGUAUGCAUCAAAGAGUAAAGAUGAUGAUGUCAUUAUAGUUGUUCUGACUCGUGAAAUGCAUACGACUUGUAAAUCUCAACAAUUGUUCAGAAACUUUCCAGUCGAAGUAAGACCAUAUUUUCCUUCAUCAAAAUCAUCUGUGCGUGCUGAAAACUCUGUUGAGAGCAUGGACGAAAUGUUAAAUGAAACUUUUUCUAAACAGCUUUUCGCAUUAAACGAAACCGUGUCUUACCAUGCAGAUAAGCUAAUGGAGCAACAUAGUAAUUUAGAAGCUAUUAAAGUCAGUUUAGUUCAUAUUAGUGAGGAAAACAGUAUUGAAGCAAGUCCUUGUGUAGUUUUAUAUUGCCGAUGCAAAUCUUUCAUUCCAUAUGGAGAACGGUCUUUUCCUACUUAUCUAAAACAUCCCAGCGAAGACAUUGCAUUUCUCACAAAUGUUAGGGAAGGUUAUUUCAUACCAUGCAACAAUGGAAAGGUCAUGACAGGAUUUGCAAAACUUUGGAACAAGGAGAUGGCGAUGGGUUGCAGCAUAGGUCCAGAAAACGAACCUUUUAGCGCAACAUGUGGACCCUUCGUAGAUGUGAAAGGGACAAGCGAAACAUGUUUCUUAACAGACAUCUGUUUCAACCUUUAUCAAAACCAGACCAACAAGUCAUUGGGACAAAACUUGUACAACCUGCAGAUGGUGACAUUAUUCCGUCACAAGCAUCUGCAAUCCAUAAUCCAGUAGCAGCCGGAGUGGCAGGUCAGCAAGGAAACAACACUCCUGAACGAAGAUGCGGAGAAGUAAUCGAUCUGCUCUCAGUGAAACUGUUGAUGCUGUGUUGGUAAGGAUCGACGAUGCGCGAGUUCCCAGACGAGGAAACUAUGUUAACGUGACGAAAGACGAUCUGUACUUCGCAGGAUUUUCCUACCAAAAUUUCCCAACUUACAAUGAUGGAAGCACACUAGAUGCAAGACCUUUGACAGUCCAUGACCGAGCGACGGACAGGGUGAUUAAGUUUGGAAAGGAGACAGGGCCCCGCAAAGGAACUCUUCAUCUGUCUUCAAUGGCAGUUAAAGAGGAUAUGUAUACAGGUUCAGUGCAGUUGAAUGGAAGACCAUAUGGACAUACCCUUAAAAAUCAGCUUCAGAUUGACUCUUACGCUUCAAGCACAUUCUUUCAAGCUGGUGAUUCUGGUUCCGCUGUUUUUCUUGUUGAUAAGGAAAAUAAACUUCAUUGUAUCGGAUUGGCGAUAGGGGUGAUGUCUGACCUUACUACCGUUUUCACGCCCAUUCAAAAUAUUCUACAAGGUCUUGGAAGACAGUUAGGCAAAACUUUGGAGAUAAAGAAGUUCGAGUUAGAGAAAAUGGACGAAAGUUGAGACAAAAAGAAUGGAAUUUGAUUCCAGACCGUGCCUUUUGUUACGAUUACUUGUGCGAGGGAUCACCUUGAGUAGAAAUCUUUUCUUAACACCAUGUUGUAAUCUAAGAACAUUGUAAAGCUUAAUUGUGAGCGCACUAACAACUAGUUCAUUCUCAAGUGGUAGUUUUAUCAAUUGUCCGUCCCUAGGCGGUUCCCUGCAGUGUUUCUUCAGUUUAUUUGUUUUGUAACUUUUGUCUAAUUGUUUUACUUUGUGAAUGUCUAUUGUUUACAUAUCAAUGCAUACACUGCUGUGAGGUUUCGGUUUGGUAUUGCGUGCCUUUUCAUACUGGGUCUUAUACCAGAUAGAAAUAUCAUGAACAUUCAUCUCAAUCAGAACAUUCGAAAAAACAAUCUUAAAAUACGAGGAGUGCCUCUGCCAUAAGAAACACUGAGAAUAAGUGACUGGUGCAAGCCAUUAAAUUACCAUUUGUUUAAUAUUUAUAAUUAUACUGCUAAUUUGCCGAACUGCAUGUUUAGGUUGAAAUGGGCUAGUAUUUUUCCCGUUCAUGACCAUGUCUGUCAUACUUUACAUAGGGGUAGGGCCACUUUAUUUCUGGUCUGAUGCUAGUGCCUCGGCGAAUUUUAAUUUUUCAGGAGCAAACUGCUAAAAUUACACGAUUGUAUGUUUUGUACUUACCUCACUAACGUUCCUUACAAUACUCACGAAUUUAAUAGUUUAAUCAAUCUAUAUUUUUGUCUGAUAAUUUAUACUUACUCUUUUAUCAUUUAUUAGUAAUGGAGCAUUCAGAUUACUGUUCCACAUGUAUGCCAGCCAUAAGAUACUACCUCACUUGUAACCAUCACCUAUAAAAUGAUGAUACCACCUACGUCGAACAUUAAAAUUUU